rnacentral:rRNA from 1 species
AACGUAGGGGACGAGCGUUAUCCGGAUUUACUGGGCGUAAAGCGCAUGUAGGUGGCUUGAAAAGUUGGACGUGAAAGCUCCUGGCUUAACUGGGAGAGGUCGUACAAAACUAGCAAGCUUGAGGUUGGAAGAGGAGAGCAGAAUUCCCGGUGUAGUGGUGAAAUGCGUAGAUGAUCGGGAGGAACACCAGUGGCGAAGGCGACUACCUGGCCUGUUUCUUGACGCUGAGGCGGCGAAA